rnacentral:lncRNA from 1 species
UAACUCAUCACUGGCAAGAAUGGCACUUUCCACACAGAACAGGCAAUCGAAUACGGCACCAAAAUGGUAUUUCAUGUCACUUCUCCUCACAUUGUUCGUCCAUAACUGUUUUCCUUUUUUUGCAAGUGAUGCGAAUUUGUAACUUGUUUUUGUGUGUGUGUUGUUAAUGAUUUUGGGUUCUGAUGUUGUCUGUGAAUUCGAAUUCGCCGAGAAAUUUGUAAUUUCUUACCAAGGUACAAAUUUUGACUCUGUAGGGUAGUGAAAAUAGUCUGUUGUAACAUGCGAUGCAUUGCUUGUACCAGUGGAAAAAUGGUUGCUUUACGCAUUAUACUAUAUUUGCACACAUGGGAUAGGAUGCAUUAGAGUGUGGUCACUCGUCUCAUAUAUAACUUACAGGGUUUUUAAAGCCUAAAAUAUGGUAGAAGUACUAAAGCGCUGCUUCUGGUGUCCGUGUGCAUCAAUGUGUAUAUUAAAAAAUUGGAUUUAUCUUUUGAGGAACAUGGAUGCCCGACCCAAAUUUCAUCCCAUACUUUCUCAUUAAUUAAAAUUCUCCUGUAUACGAGUAUUACUUAUCUUGAGACAUUUGAACGUCUUUUGAGCUAUUAAAACUCUCAUAGGAUUAAACAUGCAGUAGAAAAUGGGCCUAAAAGCAGAGAAAACACGAGCAAUGAGAUGGAAUUCAGUAAGUGUAAGGGAAGAAUUCUAUAAAUGUGGAGCCUUUCUUCUCUGCCCCAAGGAAAAUGAAGAUUUUUUAUGCUAAUGCGUUUUUUUUUCCUUAAACCAAAUGGGUUUCUUCCUCAUUCUCUCCCCUCUCGUAAUUUGUGUCUGCUAAUGUAGGUUGGAGGGGUUACCCCUGGAAAGGGUGGAACAGAACACUUGGGACUUCCUGUUUUCAACUCUGUAGCAGAGGCAAAAGCUGAAACAAAACACGUAAUUAGAAAGAUAUGAGUCUGCGUCAUU